rnacentral:rRNA from 1 species
CACGUAGGGCGCAAGCGUUGUCCGGAAUUAUUGGGCGUAAAGAGCUCGUAGGCGGUCUGUUGCGUCCGCUGUGAAAACUCGGGGCUUAACCCCGAGCCUGCAGUGGAUACGGGCAGACUAGAGGUAGGUAGGGGAGAAUGGAAUUCCUGGUGUAGCGGUGAAAUGCGCAGAUAUCAGGAGGAACACCGGUGGCGAAGGCGGUUCUCUGGGCCUGUACUGACGCUGAGGAACGAAAGCGUGGGGAGCGAACAGG